rnacentral:rRNA from 1 species
CCUACGAGCGGCUGCAGUGAGGAAUAUUGGUCAAUGGCCGGAAGGCUGAACCAGCCAAGCCGCGUGAGGGAGGAAGGCGCAGAGCGUCGCAGACCUCUUUUGCCGGGGGACAAAAGGCCGGACUCGUCCGGUCCUGAGGUUACCCGGAGAAAAAGCAUCGGCUAACUCCGUGCCAGCAGCCGCGGUACUACGGGGGAUGCGAGCGUUAUCCGGAUUCAGUGGGUUUAAAGGGUGCGCAGGGGGGCCUUUAAGCCGGCGGUGAAAUCGCGGGGCUCAACCCCGCCGAGCCGUCGGAACUGGGGGCGUUGAGUGCGGCGGAGGAAUGCGGAAUGCGCGGUGUAGCGGUGAAAUGCAUAGAUAUCGCGCAGAACCCCGAUUGCGAAGGCAGCGUGCCGUGCCGCCACUGACGCUGAGGCACGAAAGCGCGGGGAGCGAACAGGAUUAGAUACCCGUGUAGUC